rnacentral:rRNA from 1 species
CGCGAAUUCGCCCUUCGGGGUGCAGCAGGCGCGAAAACUUUACAAUGCGGGAAACCGUGAUAAGGGAACUCCGAGUGCCCGUAAAAUCGGGCUGUCCAUCUGUUUAAAUAACAGGUGAAGAAAGGGCCGGGCAAGACCGGUGCCAGCCGCCGCGGUAAUACCGGCGGCUCGAGUGGUGGCCACUAUUACUGGGCUUAAAGCGUUCGUAGCUGGUCUGUUAAGUCUCAGGGGAAAUCUACUGGCUUAACCAAUAGGCGUUUCAGGGAUACUGGCAGACUAGGGACCGGGAGAGGUGAGAGGUACUCCAGGGGUAGGAGUGAAAUCCUGUAAUCCUUGGGGGACCACCUGUGGCGAAGGCGUCUCACCAGAACGGCUCCGACAGUGAGGGACGAAAGCUGGGGGAGCAAACCGGAUUAGAUACCCGGGUAGUCCCAGCUGUAAACGAUGCGCGUUAGGUGUAUCGGUGACCACGAGUCAUCGAGGUGCCGAAGAGAAAUCGUGAAACGUGCCGCCUGGGAAGUACGGUCGCAAGGCUGAAACUUAAAGGAAUUGGCGGGGGAGCAC